rnacentral:rRNA from 1 species
GACGAACGCUGGCGGCGUGCCUAAUACAUGCAAGUCGAGCGGACUUGACAGAGCUUGCUCUGUUCAAGUUAGCGGCGGACGGGUGAGUAACACGUGGGCAACCUGCCCUGCAGAUUGGGAUAACCCCGGGAAACCGGGGCUAACACCGAAUAAUACCGAAGAUUUCAUGAUCUUCUUCGGAAAGAUGGCUUCGGCUGUGACUGCAGCAUGGUCCCGCGGGGCAUUAGCUUGUGGGUGAGGGAACGGCUCACCAAGGCGACGAUGCGUAGCCGACCUGAGAGGGUGAUCGGCCACACUGGGACUAAGACACGGCCCAGACUCCUACGGGAGGCAGCAGUAGGGAAUCUUCCGCAAUGGACGAAAGUCUGACGGAGCAACGCCGCGUGAGUGAUGAAGGUUUUCGGAUCGUAAAACUCUGUUGUCAGGGAAGAACAAGUACGGAGUAACUGUCCGUACCUUGACGGUACCUGACCAGAAAGCCACGGCUAACUACGUGCCAGCCGCCGCGGUAACAC